GGGCAUAUGGUGUAGGGGUUAUCACGUUCGCUUUGCACUGUGGAUUCAAUAACGCUUUGCGAAAGGUCUCCGGUUCAAAUCCGGAUUUGUCCA